CCUUGUUCUCAGCCUUAUGGCUAAGAUCAAGCACAGUACCUGUUCUUAUCAGUUUAAUAUCUCAAGAACCUGUAACCAGAGUUCUGCUCUUGCUGACAGAAGGGGGGAGGUGAUUUUCACCAGGGCUGCCUCCAGGGCUUUUGUGGAAGGGAUUCAGGGCUCAUUCACACUGGAGUUGAACU